CUAGGACCCGUGGAAGUCCCGUCACAGUCCGGAGCAGGGGGUCUUCUGGUGAAGUGAGGGUGCCUUCCUCCUAAUGAGUAUUCCAGGUAUAACCUUGGCGGUGUUUCAGAUACCCCAAACUUAAAGAAACCUAAAAGGCCAUCAGGCUGGCCAUCUUCCCAUUUAGAGAAAAAUGGACAAGAAGCUGAUCUGGAAGACCCUGGAAUGAUUUCAAAUCUGAUAUGAAGGGGCCCUAGAUCUUGCGCAAGGCGGUUGCUUACUUGCACAAAGUCACAUGGCUGCCAGCCCGGGACUCCAACCCACAAUCCUGAGAUCAAAAUUUGUACACUCCACCGACUGAGCCAGCCAGGCCACUUAGACCUUGGAUCUUUGAUGGGAAUACUGAGCCAUUUGAUCAACUAACCCAAGAAUUCACUUUAUCUUUGUACUUCUAACUUUAUGAGCCAAUAAACUUCCUUAGUUUUUAGGCCAGUGUAAGUUGGAUUUUCUCUUUUGUGUGUGUGUGCUUUGAAUCUUUGGAUUUUCUCUCGUUUGUAGCUGAAAGCAUCCCUGGUAUAUUUCAUAACUUUAACAUCCGAGAGGCUGACUUUUUUCCUUGUUGUAACAUUUGUAUCGGACUAAGUUAGUCUGAUUCUUCAUCACUCAUGUCCUACUAUCCCUAGAGAAUACCACUGUCAGCCAAAUUCACAAAGAUCUUUGCCUCUGAGAAAUUUCUUUCCA